AUUGAACGCUGGCGGCCGGCCUAACACAUGCAAGUCGAACGAGUGGCGGACGGGUGAGUAAUAUCUGGGCGACUGCCUGAUGGAGGGGGAUAACUACUGGAAACGGUAGCUCAUACCGCAUACCAUCAGAUGUGCCCAGAUGGGAUUAGCUUGUUGGUGGGGUAACGGCUCACCAAGGAGACGAUCCCUAGCUGGUCUGAGAGGAUGACCAUCCAAACUGGAACUGAGACACGGUCCAGACUCGGACGGGAGGCAGAAGUGGGGAAUAUUGCACAAUGGGCGUAAGCCUGAUGCAGCCAUGCCGCGUGUAUGAAGAAGGCCUUCGGGUUGUAAAGUACUUUCAGCGUGGAGGCUUUACCCGCAGAAGAAGCACCGGCUAACUCCGUGCCAGCAGCCGCGGUAAUAC
rnacentral:rRNA from 1 species